rnacentral:rRNA from 1 species
UGGGGAAUAUUGCACAAUGGGCGCAAGCCUGAUGCAGCCAUGCCGCGUGUGUGAAGAAGGCCUUCGGGUUGUAAAGCACUUUCAGCGAGGAGGAAGGUGGUGAACUUAAUACGUUCAUCAAUUGACGUUACUCGCAGAAGAAGCACCGGCUAACUCCGUGCCAGCAGCCGCGGUAAUACGGAGGGUGCAAGCGUUAAUCGGAAUUACUGGGCGUAAAGCGCACGCAGGCGGUUUGUUAAGUCAGAUGUGAAAUCCCCGGGCUCAACAUGGGAACUGCAUUUGAAACUGGCAAGCUAGAGUCUCGUAGAGGGGGGUAGAAUUCCAGGUGUAGCGGUGAAAUGCGUAGAGAUCUGGAGGAAUACCGGUGGCGAAGGCGGCCCCUGGACGAAGACUGACGCUCAGGUGCGAAAGCGUGGGGAGCAAAACAGGAUUAGAUACCCUGGUAGUCCACGCUGUAAACGAUGUCGAUUUGGAGGUUGUGCCCUUGAGGCGUGGCUUCCGGAGCUAACGCGUUAAAUCGACCGCCUGGGGAGUACGGCCGCAAGGUUAAAACUCAAAUGAAUUGACGGGGUCAUAGCUGUUUCCUG